rnacentral:rRNA from 1 species
CCCUUAGAUGUUCUGGGCAGCACGCGCGCUACAAUGGUCUUCGCAAACGGAUGCAUUCUCGAAGGAGAAUGCCAAUCUUGGAAUCUAUGCCUUGGUCGGGACAGUUGCUUGCAAUUUUUCGACUCGAACCAGGAAUUCCUUGUAAUCGUGAUUCAUCACAUCACGAUGCAUACGUCCCUGCCCUUUGUACACACCGCCCGUCGCUCCUACCGAUCGAAGAGUUAGGUGAAUUGUUUUGAUCGAUAAGAUUUGACUAUGGUCAACUCUCGUUGUGAAAUUCUGUGAAUCUGACUGUUUAGAGGAAGGAAAAGUCGUAACA